rnacentral:rRNA from 1 species
CUAUUUCAAACAACCGGUGAACACGAUAUUGAAACACGGGUUUAUGUUGGCUCUUGUCGAUGUAUUCCCUUUAAUGUGGGCGGAGUGAUUGCUUGGUACUUACUUUUGUAUGCCAAUUAGUAUUCUCUCUAAACACAUAAACCAACCCCGGCGUAAACCGCCAAGGAAUGUUAAAAACUCUUGCCAUUCCUUCACCCAUCUAUUUUGGACGAAGUUAUGGUUCUAGUCAUUGUUAAACUAAAAUGACUCUCGACAACGGAUAUCUCGGCUCUCGCAUCGAUGAAGAACGUAGCAAAAUGCGAUACUUGGUGUGAAUUGCAGAAUCCCGUGAACCAUCGAGUAUUUGAACGCAAGUUGCGCCUGAAGCUAUUAGGUUGAGGGCACGUCUGCCUGGGCGUCUCGCUUCGUGUCGUCCCACCACACAUAUGUUGGGAUGGAUAAUGGCCUCCUGUGCGUGCAACAACGAGCAGUUGGUUGAAAUGCAAGUCCGUAAGACAGGACACACGGUUAGUGGUGGUUGUGAGACUAUUUCGAACCCGUGUGUAACCUCUUAAGGAUUGCCGACCCUUGUUGCACCUUCCAUGGUGUAUCGAUUGCGACCCCAGGUCAGGCGGGAUUACCCGCU